rnacentral:rRNA from 1 species
GACGAACGCUGGCGGCGUGCUUAACACAUGCAAGUCGAACGGAAAGGCCCUGCUUUUGUGGGGUGCUCGAGUGGCGAACGGGUGAGUAACACGUGAGUAACCUGCCCUUGACUUUGGGAUAACUUCAGGAAACUGGGGCUAAUACAGGAUAGGAGCUCCUGCUGCAUGGUGGGGGUUGGAAAGUUUCGGCGGUUGGGGAUGGACUCGCGGCUUAUCAGCUUGUUGGUGGGGUAGUGGCUUACCAAGGCUUUGACGGGUAGCCGGCAUGAGAGGGUGACCGGCCACAUUGGGACUGAGAUACGGCCCAGACUCCUACGGGAGGCAGCAGUGGGGAAUAUUGCACAAUGGGCGGAAGCCUGAUGCAGCAACGCCGCGUGCGGGAUGACGGCCUUCGGGUUGUAAACCGCUUUCGCCUGUGACGAAGCGUGAGUGACGGUAAUGGGUAAAGAAGCACCGGCUAACUACGUG